UAAGUGAUAAGCGGGUCUGUGACCAUUUGUUUUCUAAUAUAUUUUCAAAUUUAUACAUCUACAUAAGAUGUCUAUAUGAGAACAGAGCUUUGGUUAUGAAGUUUUUUAAUUUCUCUGAUAGCUUUCUAAAACUUUACUGAUAUUUAUGUAUUAGUUAUGUUAUAUGAUAAUCAGACAAAUAUUACAUACAACGUAAAUUAGGGAAAUUGCCUAUGAGGAUUCUAUCCAGUAUUGAUGACAGUAUAAAUCAGUGUAUGUUUUAAAUGCAAAUUGGCAAUGACAAUCAAACUGAGUAUGUAAACUUUUUGAAAUGUUAUAAUUGGCCACUGGGACUAUAUGUUUGAAUUCUCAAAAAUUUACAAAGAAAAUACAGGUUGAGUAUAAAAAUGAAAUAUGAAUAUUAAUAUUAAAAGAAAAAUAGUAAUGAGUAUAGCUAACUUAAACGUGAAUGUAAUUCAAACUGAAAAAAUUCUGAUAGGAAAGUUUUGUAGUAUUUUAAAUUGAUUGAUAUUUAAAAUACAUCAACCAAGUUUGUUUGUUUAUAGAGUAUGUGCAUAUACCUCUUGUUUUUAUAACUGAAAUGUUAAUGGUAUAAUUAUAAAAAUGUUAAUUAUACAUGGGGAAUGACAUUCUGACAGUUAAUCUCAGUGUUAAUGGUACUGGUGAUUAUAUUAACAUUUUGUUUAAAACUUAUAUACAUGUGAGUUCAAAAGGAAAAGGUUGUGUAUUUACAUAUUUGUAUAUUGCUACAUGAAAAAAUCUAGAGUGAAUGUGAUUUAUAUGAAUAGAAAAUUGUAUGGAAGAACAUGGCAAAAAUUUAAGUCUUGUGUAGACAGAUGAGAGUAGAAGGACUGCUUCUACUUCAUACAUUUGCAAUUUAAAAAGGUAUUUCAGUAUGGACAUUUGAAGAACCAAGGAAAUUGUGCCUGUUUUCAUCCUUGCCUAUCAACAUUGUGAGAGGGUUGGGCUGUUCUAUCCAACUUUAUUAUUUCCAGCUGCUGUUAUGAAUGGUUUUUGAAUGAUUUCAUGAAGAGCACAUGACAUAGGCAUUGGUGCAGCAGAGCCUUAACAGUGAAACAGUUUUGGAUUACCCAAAGAAAGAAUGGAGAAGAUGGAAUUUUUGAGGUGAUGAUGAGAGGAAAAUAUAUUUACAGCUAACCUGAGUACAGAUGAAAUCUCCAGGAACAUCUCCUUUACUAAGGAAUCCCUUAAUUUAUAGGUCUUAACUGCAAAUCAUAGGGGAUGACAGUUUCAAGGAAGGAUACUUUUGUCAUCUUUGUCUUUAAUCCCAAGACUGGUACCUACCAUCAUUGAAUCUACCUGUUAAGAUAUUCUCAUUCACGUGUUCUUCACUCCUUGGCAGUAUGAUUGUGAUGACUGAAAAGGAACCUAUAUGCUGAAAAGGAACCUAUACCAUUGUUUCUAUCACCAAAUUAUGGGCUUCAUAAUGUACAGAGACUAUGCACAUGUGUUGCAGUGGACACUCCUUGCAGAUCAUAAAUACUGGACUGAGAAAGCUCAGUUUUGGAAAGUGCUAUAAAAGAAUAUUCCCUGUCUGUACUCCUAUUUUUUUUCUCUCAAUUGACGCUUACAAUUAUCUUGCAAGUUGGGAAAAAAUGCGGUUUUAAUUUCAUUUGCGUGAAAUUUAAUAGAUUAAUUAGGAGAGAAUAGAUCUCUUUAAAAUUGAGUCUUCCUAUCCAGCUGCAAGCAUGUCUCACAAGCAAGGACCAAAGAGACCUUUCAUGCAGGUGGUGACCUUGAGGACAAGAAGAUCACAGACACUUUCUGCAGUGGUUUCGUCUGCAACAUCACAGCAAUGCUGUCUUUAUUCCUCUUUUCUGGGAUCUUAUUGCAUCUUUUUAUCUCAAGGGCACAAAUUUUAUAGAAGUUCACCCAGGAAUAGAAGUGACCUGCUUUUUGGCAAGUAAUUGCCUGGAAUGCUGCUAAGUACUUUUCUGUGUUCUCAAAAUAUUUUGUGCUUUCCAGGGUUGUUGUAUAUCUCAUUGUAUUUUUUUAAUGUAUAUUUUACUUUGAAAAUAGAAGUGAUAUUUGUGUGUGUUAAAUAUAAUUAAUUCAACCCCAUAAACACCUCAGUCACACCCCAGAUGAUAGCCAGACUUUCUCACAAGUUGAGUUCCUCUAGUGUGUCAGUUCUGUUUCCAUUCGUAUGGUACUUUCUUCCUUGUUUGUAUCAGGAGACUAUAGUUCUUAGGUCCCAAACAAGAUUGUCUUAAAUGUUAUCUGGACUAGAAUUUCUCUAGUUACUGUUUUGGUUGAACCUGGUGGGUUUCAUGCCAGAUAAGGAUCUACUAACUGUAGUUCACCUCUUCCCCAAUGCCCAAACCUAAGACUUGGAUGCCAUCACAACCAUCGGUGAUGAGAGAGAGCCAGAUCCUUAGACUGACAUUUUGAGCCAUAGUGAUGCCAUUUUCUAGAACAUGUGGUUCCAUCAUUUUCUUGCUAUCACUAGUAUUCUCUUUUUAGGGAUUGGAGUAAAACACUCAGUGUACCAAAGAGAUUUCCCUUUUGUCCACAUUAUCCUGAUUUUCAUUUGUUUUCUUCUUAAGAGGGCCUGAUAUAAAAUACUGUUUAUUUAAGUUUUAAUUUUCUACUUUUGGAACCUAAACUGCAUGUUUCAUCAGGGAACUACUACUGCAUUGCCCAGUCUUUAACAGGUAGGGUUUAUACUGGGUGAAGGUGGAGGGGGGUCCAAUAGAAUCUUUCUAGAACAGUAUUAGCAAUGAAAACGGUUGGUAGAAUUUUAAGACUAUAUAUGAUAAUUCCUUUCCUUGAAAGUAAAUUACUUUUCCCAACAGAAGAUUUAAUGAUUUAAAAUUCUCAUAAAUAUGUACAGCCAUCAAUAUCAAUUUUCUAAUUAUGUUAUUCUGUUCGUUGGCAGGUGGAUUCUGAGGUAGAACUUGUGUUCCUUUUGUAAUACCCAUUUAUUUUACAUGCAGAGAAGUUCCUUUUGAAGUUCCAAAGUUAAAUUCGUCUAUUUCAAACUAUUUCUUGUGUUAAUAUUUUCCAAUUUCAAAAUGAUCUUCUGGAUAUAAGAAAAUCAAUGUCUUAAUCAACACACCUUUACAUUAAUUACAUGAAGCACAAUAUAAUACCCACACAAUAAUAUAUUUUAUAGUCUGUGCCCAGGAUCAGCAAACUUUGGCUAUAAAGAGUUUACAGGCCAUACUGUAGCAACUACUCAGUUCUGCCAGUGCAGUAUGAAAGCAGCUAUAACCAGUUCAUGAACAAGUGAGUGUGUCUUUGUUCUAGUAAAACUUACUUACAAAAACAGGUGGUGGGCCAGGUUUGGACCACAGACUAUAGUUUUUUGAUCCCUAGCCUUACAGAAUAGGCUUAUUGUUAUUCUGGCAAAGGUGGUUAGGUAUAGAAAUCAAAAGGGAGAGAAAGAACAUCUUC